GCACGUAGUUAGCCGGGACUUAUUCCUGGGGUACCGUCCUUGUCUCUUCCCCAGAAAAGGGCUUUACAACCCAAGGCCUUCAUCGCCCACGCGGCGUCGCUGCAUCCGGCUUUCGCCGAUUGUGCAAUAUCCC
rnacentral:rRNA from 1 species